rnacentral:rRNA from 1 species
AGAGUUUGAUCCUGGCUCAGAUUGAACGCUGGCGGUAUGCUUAACACAUGCAAGUCGAACGGAAACGAAACUAGCUUGCUAGUAGGCGUCGAGUGGCGGACGGGUGAGUAACGCGUAGGAAUCUGCCUGAUAGUGGGGGAUAGCCCGAAGAAAUUCGGAUUAAUACCGCAUAAUCUAUUCGUAGUAAAGUGGGGGACUUUCGAGCCUCACGCUAUCAGAUGAGCCUGCGUAAGAUUAGCUUGUUGGUAGGGUAAAAGCCUACCAAGGCAACGAUCUUUAGCUGGUCUGAGAGGAUGAUCAGCCACAUCGGGACUGAGACACGGCCCGAACUCCUACGGGAGGCAGCAGUGGGGAAUAUUGGACAAUGGGGGCAACCCUGAUCCAGCAAUACCGCGUGUGUGAAGAAGGCCUGAGGGUUGUAAAGCACUUUCAAUUGUGAAGAAAAGUUAAUGGUUAAUAACCGUUGACCUUGACGUUAACUUUAGAAGAAGCACCGGCUAACUCCGUGCCAGCAGCCGCGGUAAUACGGAGGGUGCAAGCGUUAAUCGGAAUUACUGGGCGUAAAGCGUGCGUAGGCGGUUUAUUAAGUCAGAUGUGAAAGCCCCGGGCUUAACCUGGGAACUGCAUUUGAAACUGGUCAACUAGAGUAUGGUAGAGGAAAGUGGAAUUUCUGGUGUAGCGGUGAAAUGCGUAGAUAUCAGAAGGAACAUCAAUGGCGAAGGCAGCUUUCUGGACCAAUACUGACGCUGAGGUACGAAAGCGUGGGUAGCAAACAGGAUUAGAUACCCUGGUAGUCCACGCCGUAAACGAUGAUAACUAGCCGUUGGGGGGAUUUACCCCUUAGUGGCGAAGCUAACGCGUUAAGUUAUCCGCCUGGGGAGUACGGCCGCAAGGCUAAAACUCAAAGGAAUUGACGGGGACCCGCACAAGCGGUGGAGCAUGUGGUUUAAUUCGAUGCAACGCGAAGAACCUUACCUGGUCUUGACAUCCUGCGAACUUUCUAGAAAUAGAUUGGUGCCUUCGGGAACGCAGUGACAGGUGCUGCAUGGCUGUCGUCAGCUCGUGUCGUGAGAUGUUGGGUUAAGUCCCGUAACGAGCGCAACCCCUAUCCUUAUUUGCCAGCACAUUAUGGUGGGAACUAUAAGGAGACUGCCGGUGAUAAACCGGAGGAAGGCGGGGACGACGUCAAGUCAUCAUGGCCCUUACGACCAGGGCUACACACGUGCUACAAUGGGAAGGACAAAGAGCCGCGAAGCCGCGAGGUGUAGCUAAUCUCAUAAAUCUUUUCGUAGUCCGGAUUGGAGUCUGCAACUCGACUCCAUGAAGUCGGAAUCGCUAGUAAUCGUAGAUCAGAAUGCUACGGUGAAUACGUUCCCGGGUCUUGUACACACCGCCCGUCAUACCAUGGGAGUGGGUUGCACCAGAAGUGGCUAGUCUAACUUUGUGAGGACGGUCACCACGGUGUGAUUCAUGACUGGGGUAAAGUCGUAACAAGGUAACC